ACGGGGUGCAGCAGGCGCGAAAACUUCGCAAUGUGCGAAAGCACGACGAGGGAAUCCCAAGUGCUGGCUCGUUAGAGUCAGCUGUUUUUAUGUCUAAAAAGCAUAGAGAGUAAGAGCUGGGUAAGACGGGUGCCAGCCGCCGCGGUAAUCCCUGCAGCUCAAGUGGUGGCCGCUAUUAUUGGGCCUAAAACGUCCGUAGCCUGUUUAUUAAAUGCCUAGGUAAAUUGUGUGGCUUAACCAUACGAAUUCUGGGUAGACUGAUAAACUUGAGACCGGGAGAAGCUAGAGGUACUCCUGGGGUAGAGGUGAAAUUCUGUAAUCCUAGGGGGACCACCAGUGGCGAAGGCGUCUAGCUAGAACGGGUUUGACGGUGAGGGACGAAGCCCUGGGGCGCAAACGGGAUUAGAUACCCCGGUAGUCCAGGGUGUAAACGCUGCUUGCUUGAUGUUGGUUGGGCUCCGAGCCCAAUCAGUGUCGGAGAGAAGUUGUUAAGCAAGCUGCCUGGGAAGUACGGCCGCAAGACUGAAACUUAAAGGAAUUGGCGGGGGAGCAC
rnacentral:rRNA from 1 species